CUAGUAGUCCCUGGUCAUAAUCCACAUGUGUGGCGUGGCGAUGUGAAUUUUCUUCCAUCGUCCAACAUCGUCACGGGAAAUCAAAACUAAUCCAAUACCUGCUCUGCCCUGCCGGAUUUCUCGUUUUAGCCGACGAGGCCAUCGGACGCGCGACUUAAUUAACAAUUCCCGUCACGUCGUCGUCAGUGUUAGCGUCAGCUUCGUCGUCUGCUACGUGGCCAACGAGACGUUUUGCCACACCGGGAGGAUUGUUUAUCCGCAGCAGCCAAGAGCACACUGGAAACGGCAGUAGUGGCACACGCAUACAUUCGGGCGCACAUUUGAACGUGAGCUUGGCGGUGCGCUUUCCAGUAGGGCCAGGCCAACUAUCCUCGAUGAUGGCCCUCGGAAUCUUUGACGCUUUUGCUACUUCGCUGCUGCACAGUGUACCUACAAACAGUGCACUUACUUCCAAUCCAACACAUGGCGACCGUGACAUCGAAUUGUAACUAUGAUGACGAAGCUAUCAAUCAGUGUUAUGAUGAGUGUUACGAAAAGAAGGGUCUGGAAGUCGAUUCGGUUCGUGGAACUGGAAAUUCAUGUUCCAGUAAUUUUGAAUCCAUAUUUCCAUGAUGUUGACGUACAUGGAAACCUUCCUGGGCAGUUUUGAAGACUAAUAUUGUUGUACAGAUUAAAAAGUAUUUUUUUCAGAUUUUAAGUGAAUUCCCACAAAUACCUAAAAUAGAAAAUUGAAUCAGUGACAAA